rnacentral:pre_miRNA from 1 species
UCAGGUAUUGGUUAACGUCGCAUGGGAUAUACUCUUUCCACCCAUUAAUAAUAAUGAGUGGAAAGAGUAUAUCCCAUGCGACGUUAAUCAAUACCUGA